rnacentral:rRNA from 1 species
GAUCCUGGCUCAGGAUGAACGCUAGCGGCAGGCUUAACACAUGCAAGUCGAGGGGCAACGCGAGUAGCAAUACUUGGCGGCGACCGGCGCAAGGGUGCGUAACGCGUGAGCAACAUGCCCGUAUCAGGGGGAUAAUCCAGGGAAACUUGGUCUAAUACCCCAUAGUAAUUUUGUAAGGCAUCUUAUAAGAUUUAAAGCUUUGGUGGAUACGGAUUGGCUCGCGUGACAUUAGCUGGAUGGUAAGGUAACGGCUUACCAUGGCUAUGAUGUCUAGGGGUUCUGAGAGGAAGGUCCCCCACACUGGAACUGAGACACGGUCCAGACUCCUACGGGAGGCAGCAGUGAGGAAUAUUGGACAAUGGAUGGAAAUCUGAUCCAGCCAUGCCGCGUGAAAAGGAAGAAGGUCCUAUGGAUUGUAAACUUCUUUUGUAUGGGAGCAAUAAGGCCUACGAGUAGGUUGAUGAGAGUACCAUACGAAUAAGCACCGGCUAACUCCGUGCCAGCCGCUGC